rnacentral:rRNA from 1 species
CCUACGGGAGGCAGCAGUGAGGAAUAUUGGUCAAUGGACGAGAGUCUGACCCAGCCAAGUAGCGUGAAGGAUGACUGCCCUAUGGGUUGUAAACUUCUUUUAUAAAGGAAUAAAACGAGGCACGUGUGCCUUUUUGCAUGUACUUUAUGAAUAAGGAUCGGCUAACUCCGUGCCAGCAGCCGCGGUAAUACGGAGGAUCCGAGCGUUAUCCGGAUUUAUUGUGUUUAAAGGGAGCGUAGAUGGGUUGUUAAGUCAGUUGUGAAAGUUUGCGGCUCAACCGUAAAAUUGCAAUUGAUACUGGCAGUCUUGAGUACAGUUGAGGUAAGCGGAAUUCGUGGUGUAGCGGUGAAAUGCUUAGAUAUCACGAAGAACCCCGAUUGCGAAGGCAGCUUACUAAACUGUGACUGACAUUGAUGCUCGAAAGUGUGGGUAUCAAACAGGAUUAGAUACCCGGGUAGUC